ACUUUCUAUUUGUAAAAGCUAUCAGUUAUAAGAUGUGAUGCGAAUGAAAAUAUGUAUGAAAUCCCUAUCCAUCAAAAUCGACGGAAAUGAGAAUCUACAAAGCUAGUUGAGAUAGAACACAUUGGGACUUAAAAACAAUGGGAUGUGAUUCAGCAAAGCCUCCCAAUUCAGUCGCAUGAUAGGACGACCACGGAGGGGCCAAGAGUGGUUAAACCUGUUUCACCCUGUGACUCAGGUUACUGCUCAUGUUACUUGACACACAGAAACCUAGCCAUACGUCAUUCCUUUGGUGUUUAUGCUUUGUUUUUACAUUCAGACCUGAAGGCGACCACAGGACUAAACCACGUAAUUUAAUAUCCCAGACAUCAGAGACGUCACAGUCCACAGCGAAAUAACAAAUCAAAAACAAUGGGCAAGGGUGAAGGUGAAAUGUGGGACGAUGGUGACCUGGCCCCGAGGCAAACUCAACCCCCGAGCUACGAGGACACGAUUAAGACGGACACAGCACCGAAGCCCAAGGGCAGCAGCUGCCCCACGUGUUGCCUCAAGACCCGGGACUGCCUGAUGAGCGGCGAGUGUGGACGGUGCCUCCAGAUCUCCAGCGUGGUGGCCAUGUGUGGAAUCUGCCUCCGGAUUUUUAUAUAAUCGAAUCUUGGAUGCAAUGGCACGGAUGUUUUGAGCAGGAAGUGAGAGGAAUUAAUUCUCGGUUGGAUCAACAAGAUUUCCCACAUAUUAUGUAACUUCCUUGCAGGCUCGGUGCCACGGGGGGGCGUGACGACAAGACGACCAUCCCGCCCCCUUAGUGAAAAUGAAUAGAUGUUAUGUUUAAAAUAAUUUUUACACAACUACUAAGUUCCUAAGUUACAGUUUAGUCUACAUUUGCAAAUCAAAUUAAUUUGUUGUUUGGGUUGCUAGAAGUUCAAAAAGGUGUUUUCUGUGUGGAGGAAUUAACACUCUCGCAAUCAUACUGUCAUUGUGACCAAGCAGAAGCACUAGUCUAGCUGUCUCAUUUUAAAAUGGAUGUACGAAAAUGGAUAUCAAAGUGAUUUCAAAUGGAUCUAGUACUGAUUCAACGUAAGGGAUACAUACUUCUUUACUGUUGUGCUGGCGAAGAAGCAGUCACUUUCAAUGGGCUUUGCUUAGCUCUAUUUCAGCAAUAUCUUUACUAUUGCCAUUGCAGAUUUAACCUUGGUUUUGUGGCAAUGUUCUGCAACUAUGAUAAAGUUAUCAUUGAGGUUCAUAUAGCAUUGGGUUUUGUCGGUUGUUGUGCGUAUUGGCGGCGCACUGUGUGCGUGCGUUGGUUAUGAUAGAUAUUUUGUCGGCGUACAACUGUAGGUGUUGGGUGUUUGGCAACACCCCCUCUCCGUAUUGCGUCGCCCCCUGACCGGCGCCCAGGUCUGCUUCCCCGUAAUAAUUAAGAUGUAAUUAAUGCAAGGUUGAUCAUGUAAUUAAUUGCAUGUAGUUAAAAGAUAACAAAUGAACUGUACAAUAAAGGUUGAUUAAAGAACCUGAUAUUUAUG